rnacentral:rRNA from 1 species
AUACGGAGGGUGCAAGCGUUAUCCGGAUUUAUUGGGUUUAAAGGGUGCGCAGGCGGAUAAUUAAGUCAGUGGUGAAAUCCUCCCGCUCAACGGGAGAACUGCCAUUGAUACUGAUAAUCUGGAAUACGGUUGAAGUGGGCGGAAUGUAGCAUGUAGCGGUGAAAUGCAUAGAGAUGCUACAGAACACCGAUCGCGAAGGCAGCUCACUAAGCCGAUAUUGACGCUCAGGCACGAAAGCAUGGGUAGCGAACAGGAUUAGAAACCCUAGUAGUCC